GGAACUUGAACCCACUGGCCCCGGGCGCGCCGUUCCCACCGGUGGUGACAAGGAACGCCGGGCACGUGACGAAGAGAUGGUAGUGGCCGGAGAUCCAGCUGCCGACUUUCCACCGCACACGGCCGUCGAUCUUGACCUGCAGAAUCAGGUACCCCGCCUGACAGUCCUGGCGGAGCGCGUCGGCGAGGUACGGCGCGAAGGGGACGUCGGGGCCGGAGAGGACCGGGGACCAGACGUCGACGUCGCCGUGGCCCUGGUACACGGCGGGGAGCGACGCGGCCACCGUGAUCUGCUGGUACUUGUAGGAGGCGUACACGUCGAGACGGUCGUAGUAG
rnacentral:lncRNA from 1 species